AUGACUGAACAGCAGCAACCAGGAGCACGAGGCAGCAGCUGGCCCGUUCUGACACUUGGGAGCGUCAGGGCAGGGGCCCAGGUGCGGCUGCGGCCGCACACUAUGCCCUUCCUCCGCCGGCUCACCUCCCUGGCGGGAGGCCGGUGCGCGGCUGAUUCGCCUCUCCAGUCAUCCUUUUGCUUCUCCAGCUCCUGGGCCAGAAGUGUGUGCAGUUUCCUGACAUGGGUGCCAACUUCUGCAGGACACCCAGGCUUCGCGUCCCUCCUCGUGAGUUCCAGCUUGGGCUCGCUGGUCCCCGCUCCGGCUCCACCUUCCCUUCCUAACUACCUGCUCCGCACACUUGAGGCUGCAGCGUCAGGCAGAGGGGCGGCAGCUUCUAGAGACCCUACGAGCAGCCCCGCGACUGCAGAGGUUAGCUCCCUUAAUGACGUCACCCCCGGUGGCCCUGCGCCGGGCGGACACAGGUACCAGGCGCGCAGACCUCAGGGGCGGAGGCCCAGCCCCGAGACAAACCCUCAUGGGCUUCAUUUCCCUCCUGGUGACGGGUCUAGGUGUCCGAAGCCAUUCCAGGCGGAUCUUAGGGACCGUUCCUGGGGGGGGGGGGGGGGGGGCUCCCUUGUCCCCCUGGGAGCUGAGAGUCGGGCUGAUGUCUGCGGUCGGGGCCGCCAUCCUGUGACCCCAGGAAGAAGGACGUCUGCCUGCUGCAGGCGGGGAGGUAAAGAGCAGGGAGGGCGUCCACGCUCUGGACGCCGGGGGCUCCACCUGGAAAGCGAGCCUUUUCGUGCGUGCGAUCAGCGGCUCGCCGCGGCCCCUUCCCUCCCUCAGCAGGACGCUCUGGGCCUCGGCGCCCUUGUCCCCAUUGUCGGGAACACUCCACCUCCGUGCGUGUCACCGACCGCCCAGCAGAGAAGGGCGCAGGCGGCUGGAGCGGCAGAAUCCUUCCGCCCAGACCCGCGCCCGCGCGCAGGCGCAGCACCGACCCCAAGCGCCCUCCGCGCGGUUUGGAGCCCGCGGGCCGCCGUACAUCCGGACGUCUCCUUGGAGACCGCGUGA
rnacentral:lncRNA from 1 species